UACGUAGGGUGCGAGCGUUAAUCGGAAUUACUGGGCGUAAAGGGCGCGUAGGCGGCCACCGCAAGUCAGUUGUGAAAUCUCUGGGCUUAACCCAGAAAGGUCAACUGAUACUGCGGGGCUAGAGUGCAGAAGGGGCAACUGGAAUUCUCGGUGUAGCGGUGAAAUGCGUAGAUAUCGAGAGGAACACCUGCGGCGAAGGCGGGUUGCUGGGCUGACACUGACGCUGAUGCGCGAAAGCUAGGGGAGCGAACGGG
rnacentral:rRNA from 1 species